GAUGAACGCUAGCGGCAGGCUUAACACAUGCAAGUCGAGGGGUAUAUUUCUUCGGAGAUAGAGACCGGCGCACGGGUGCGUAACGCGUAUGCAAUCUACCUUUUACAGAGGGAUAGCCCAGAGAAAUUUGGAUUAAUACCUCAUAGUAUAUAGAGUUGGCAUCAACACUAUAUUAAAGUUACAACGGUAAAGAUGAGCAUGCGUCCCAUUAGCUAGUUGGUAAGGUAACGGCUUACCAAGGCUACGAUGGGUAGGGGUCCUGAGAGGGAGAUCCCCCACACUGGUACUGAGACACGGACCAGACUCCUACGGGAGGCAGCAGUGAGGAAUAUUGGACAAUGGGCGCAAGCCUGAUCCAGCCAUGCCGCGUGCAGGAUGACGGUCC
rnacentral:rRNA from 1 species